AACAAGAAGACGACUACAUGAGUCCACCGUGGCUAAUGCCAAUGCUACGAGGCAGCUACUUCGUCCCCUGUUCGAUCCACGCCGAUUCCAACAAAAACGAAUGCAACUUGUUCUGUCUCGACUGUGCUGGAAAUGCCUUUUGCUCUUACUGUUUGGUCAAACAUAAAGACCAUCGUGUUGUUCAGGUCCAAUAUCUCUUUUCUUUCUUUCUUGGUUUGUUUAUUUUAUAAUGUUAACGAAAAUGAAAUUAAAUUGCAGAUAAGGAGAUCUUCUUACCACAACGUGGUGAGAGUGAAUGAGAUACAGAAGUACAUAGACAUCUCUUGCGUUCAGACAUAUAUCAUCAACAGCGCAAAGAUCGUGUUCCUCAAUGAAAGACCUCAGCCUAGAAUCGGAAAAGGUGUUACGAACACUUGUGAGAUAUGUUGCAGAAGCCUUCUUGAUUCCUUCCGCUUCUGCUCUCUCGGUUGCAAGGUAACAAUAAAAUUCUCUUACUCUGUUUUUAUCCUCUGUUUCCACCAUUUUUGUCUUAAAAAUUGCCAACUUCCAAUGUUUUAAACAAAAACUCGUCAAACACAUCACACAUUUCACUUUAUAGUGGAUUAUAUAUCAAAAUUUUAAUUUUAAUAGUAAUAAUUCAGUUUUGUUCAUGAUUUAUGUGGAUAUGCUCUUUUUUCCAAAUGUUAUACGUGGAAUAACAUUAUUGUGUGUUUAUUGUUUCAGCUUGGGGGAAUGAAGAGAGGAGAUCAAAGUCUGACCUUCUCUCUCAGAGGGAAGCAUGGGAGAGAGUACCAAGGUGGGUCGGAAUCAGAUGAGGCUACCACACCGACUAAGCUGC
rnacentral:lncRNA from 1 species